rnacentral:rRNA from 1 species
CGGCCUACCAAGGCAACGAUGGUUAGCUGGUCUGAGAGGAUGAUCAGCCACACUGGAACUGACACACGGUCCAGACUCCUACGGGAGGCAGCAGUGAGGAAUUUUGCGCAAUGGGGGAAACCCUGACGCAGCAACGCCGCGUGAGUGAUGAAGGCUUUCGGGUCGUAAAGCUCUGUCAAGUGGGAAGAACCCGCGCCGUGCAAAUAGUGCGGUGCGUUGACGGUACCACUGAAGGAAGCACCGGCUAACUCCGUGCCAGCAGCCGCGGUAAUACGGGGGGUGCAAGCGUUAUUCGGAAUCAUUGGGCGUAAAGAGCGCGUAGGCGGUCUUCUAUGUCAGAUGUGAAAGCCCGGGGCUCAACCCCGGAAGUGCAUUUGAAACUGGGAGACUUGAGUAUGGGAGAGGGAAGUGGAAUUCCUGGUGUAGCGGUGAAAUGCGUAGAUAUCAGGAGGAACACCGGUGGCGAAGGCGACUUCCUGGACCAAUACUGACGCUGAGGCGCGAAGGCGUGAGGAGCAAACAGGAUUAGAUACCCUGGUAGUCCACGCAGUAAACGUUGAACACUAGGUGUAGCGGGUAUUGACCCCUGCUGUGCCGCAGUUAACGCAUUAAGUGUUCCGCCUGGGGAGUACGGCCGCAAGGCUAAAACUCAAAGGAAUUGACGGGGGCCCGUACAAGCGGUGGAGCAUGUGGUUUAAUCCGACGCAACGCGAAGAACCUUACCUGGGUUUGACAUCCCGGGAAUCUCUAUGAAAAUAGAGAGUGCCCUUCGGGGAGCCCGGAGACAGGUGCUGCAUGGCUGUCGUCAGCUCGUGUCGUGAGAUGUUGGGUUAAGUCCCGCAACGAGCGCAACCCCUAUCUUUAGUUACCAUCAUUCAGUUGGGGACUCUAAAGAUACUGCCCCGGUCAACGGGGAGGAAGGUGGGGAUGACGUCAAGUCCUCAUGGCCUUUAUGCUCAGGGCUACACACGUGCUACAAUGGGCAGUACAAAGGGUUGCAACACUGCGAGGUGAAGCCAAUCCCGCAAAGCUGCUCUUAGUUCGGAUUGGAGUCUGCAACUCGACUCCAUGAAGCUGGAAUCGCUAGUAAUUGUGGAUCAGCACGCCACGGUGAAUACGUUCCCGGGCCUUGUACACACCGCCCGUCACACCAUGAGAGUUGGUUGUACCAGAAGUUGUCGGGCAAACCCUUCGGGGGUGCAGGCACCUAAGGUAUGGCUGAUAAUUGGGGUGAAGUCGGAACAAGGUA